AUCUUGCUGCGAAAGCAAGUUUCCGUAGCGGCAGCGUCACAGACGAAAUCCAGAUUAGCUCGUGCGAAUGACUUCGCAAUUCUAGUCAGUUCAGCAAUGCACGCUACCGCAUGCCUGUUCUGAACCGAUCCCAUUCGUAGUUGCGUGCUGCCAUGUGGUGUACUUGAUGGAAGUCGGGCGUUAUACUUUAUUGACCUAUGCGCAGAUAAGUUUUACGGAAAACUACAGAUUCAUCCGGCUGCAAAGAUGAGUCAGAAUACGAUACGACAGAGAACAAUUGCGUAUUUUAUUCGUUUUUUUUUUUCUGUCCAAGAACAAUUUUUUUUUUCUUGAUCGAAGCAGUGUAGUUACCACUUCUCGUAAGGCCCACUUGUUUGGCACCGGCGGCACAAGAUUCUUCGACCACGAGAGGUGUUCUUAAGCGCCGAGCUUUCAGUACCAAAUCAACCGUGGCAACUGCUAUGCUGUAAGCUGCACCAUUUGCCACUGAGUCGCUGGCCGGACACCAGUGGGCUACGACUGGACAGAAAAGAAAAAGUUCUUCGUCUUCCUGAAAUGGCAGGCAGGGGUAAAGAAAUGAACCGCUGCGGCGAGCGUGACAAGGACGAGGAAAGCCAGUCUGGUAGCCGGGAAUCGAACGCCGAAGCUAAACUUUGUAGUCCUGACGCCGUAGUAACUUCUGGCUCAACCGAGUUGUACUAUGAGCCUGCGCAAAGUUUAUCCGGGGGCAACGUACAAGAACAAUCGAUGAGUGAAGCGUGUGGCAAGGACGACCGACAUCCUCCGACAGCCCAAACGCCUUCGACCGCUAAGGCCAAUCUCGGUAACGCUAGUUGCAGUUCAGGGCUGGCGAGCCCUUUUGCUGCAGAAGACCAAACAAGAACGGUCUCAGCGGAGAAGUAUCAGGGCACGCGUCCGGCACUACAACACAAGAAACACACUACAGCAGACGCGUGCACAGUGUUUAUCGGUGGUUACGAUGCCACACAGCAGGCAACUGCUUCUACGACGGCGGCUGCGGGAGUGAGAAUGCCGACGGCUGCAAGUCGACACCACACAACCUUUGAUCAGAGCACAACCCUGAGCGGCACCCCUCCGAGUGACCGAAUUGAUUGCAGCGGGAAAACUAGUCCGUUUUUCUCUCAAAUGCCUCAACUGCCAUUUAGAAAUCCUGAAAGCCCGACUGCCUCAACCUUGUCCAAGAGUUCGGGUCAUGGUAAAGGACGGGCCGAGCAACAAGGAAAAACAUCGUGCUCAGGUGCUGCUUCUGCUGCUGCAAGUAAACACGGAAUCUGCAAGGACAUUAACCCCGGCGAUGCUCUUGUCAGCACGGAUUUUUCCACUGCUGGUGCGGCUGGUAUGCAGUCGGGCCAAUUUACCCCGCAGUUCCCGCAGGCGUCUUCUCAGUCGCCUGGAGUUGCUCUUGGGCGUGCUCUCCUUAAACCAUCUUUGGCAAAACCUUCUUCUCCGCCACCAGCGCACCAAUCACAUUUACAAAGCUCUAGGCCACUUUUGCCUACUGCGAGAAAUCGGCACCAGUUUAUCCUGCCACAUGUAAUUACACAGGUUACGCAAGAAGGGCUUGCCCGACGAAACCCCAAUUUACCUACGUCAUCUUCGAAUGUAGCCCAGAACAACCCCCCCGGCAUGGCGAGUUCCGGCCUGUACGCGACGCUGCCUUGUCACACUGAUACUGCUAGACUUUUGCUCGCAAUACAAGGCCACCAACCUAUGCAGCCGCCUUUGCCAGCUUUCAAUACGGCGCCUACGUGGAACCCGAUGGAACAAGCGGUGAGUCGUACAAGUGUUCCAUAUACACCACUCCUUAUGGUGUCGCCACAACAGCCCCAGCAGUGGCAGAUGGGCCUUCCGAUGCCACUUACGCAGAGGGCGACAGCGGUCACGGGAACACAUCCGCGAACCACGCAGUCAGUUAUGCAAGCUCAGGUAGCGCCACCUGCUGCGCAGUCGAUGACAGAAAGGGAAGCUUUUGAGAUAAUAUCCGCCAUACAAUUAGAAGCCUACAGGUGUGCACAACAAGCAAUGCUUCGUCGCAAGGUACGUGAAGACAGGCCGGUAUCGGAGCAUGCAAGGAUGCAGGCUGUUUUAAGGUGGCUAUACGACUGCGAGCGAUCGUGCCCUCUAGAGACGCCAGAGUACCUGCCAAACGAAAUACCACAACAGCAACCAGCAGAAAGUGGGACAGAGCCACCACAUAGCCAACCAACGCUUGCGCAUAACGAGCAACCGCAUGAAACAGCACCAGCCGCCACGAGUCCCACCGUAACAACCGGCAACGUUCAGACAAGUGAAACGACCACUUUGAUGCAUCGACGCCAUUCACUUCAAGCGGCGAUGACACAACGGCAGCUACAGGCACCAGUGCGUCGUCGCAGUAAUCCGGAAGAGUGGACUUCAGGGCCGCAAUCACAGUUGCACCAAGGAUCAUUGCGCGGUACACUGUCUCGGCCUGGCAGAGCCCCAAAAGGUCAAGGGGUGCGGCGAGGAGUGCCGCGGAGGGCAAAACUUGCUAGUAAAGAAGAUGCCUCUGACGUCUACCUUCCACCUUCUUCGACGGAACGUUCUCAUACUCAAAGCGGAAGUGAAGCCUUGCGCUCUUUACGCGUCCGAGAUGGUGCAUCCACCAAGCGCGGCCGCUCAUCCAGGAGAGGCCGGCCCCCUAAAACACGCGCUGCGUUUCAGACAUCGUGUGCAAGAGCGCAAGGAUCUAAGUAUAAUCGGCUUGAAAGUAGUGAAGCUGCAUCGAGCGGGCGACGCCCUCAAUCUCAAGCACUUAGUCGGCCAAGGCUUGCGCAUAAGAAGCGACCGCAUGAAACAAUACCAGCCGCCACGGGUUCCGCCGCAACAACCGGCAACGUUCAGACAAGUGAGAACCCCACUUUGACGCAUCGACGCCAUUCACUUCAAUCGACCAUGACACAACGGCAGCUACAGGCACCGUUGGAUCGUCACAGUUAUCCGGAAGAGGGGACUUUCGGGCCGCAGUCACAGUUGCACCAAGGAUCAUUGCGUGGUACACUGUCUCGGCCUGGCAGAGCCACAAAAGGUCAAGGGGCGCGGCGAGGAGCACCGCGGAGGGCAAAACUUGCCAGUAAAGAAGAUGCCUCUGAUGUCUACCUUCCACCUACUUCGACGGAAGGUUCUCACACUCAAAGCGGAAGUGAAGCCCUGCGCUCUUUACGCGUCCGAGAUGGCGCCUCCACCAAUCGCGGCCGCUCAUCCAGGAGAGGCCGGCCCCCUAAAACACGCACUGCGGCUCAGACGUCGAGUGCAAGAGCGCAAGGACUUCAGAAUGAUCUGCUUCAAAGUAGCGAAGCUGCAUCGAGCGAGCGACACCCUCUAUCUCAAGUGUCUGCGGCAUCAAUGCCAGCUAAAGCUACCGAAUGCCCACGCCGGGUGCAAGAAGCACCAGAUUAUCAGGUAGGGCAAGAUAACACGUUGCACCAGAUGAGUUUAGAACGAGACGCAACAUCGAGAGUUUCACUGGGUCAGGACAUUAGGUUCGAGGAUCUUUCGAACGAAACACGGAGAUCAAGUGAGGGCGCAGAGCGUACGAAAAAUGAAACUUCUUCCGAGCCGACGAGCUCCAGAGAAGCACGGCAUAACAAUGGAAGUAUAGGUCGCACGGCAACACUAAAGGAAAAGCGGCCACCACCAAGAAAACGGAAAAACGCGGUCGAGGAUGGUAACUCCACACCUUCCAAACGGGGUUCGUCAUCCCAGGGUCACAAUUCCAGCCUUCCCGAAAUUGAGACUUCCUCCGUCGAACAGCAAGAAGCAAAGGAUGAGUCUUCUCCGGAGCAGGCUCGAUGUGCAAUGUUUCAAAGGCUACAGUCUUCGUUUUUCGAAAGUUAUACGUACGUGGAAUCUGAAGAAGAUAGUCAAUUAGGCUUAUCUCCAUGUCCGCCACUGUGGACUACUUCGGGGCAACCUCGGUCACUCCAAGAGUUGCUCACUCCACCAAGCGAUAUGUCCCCUUCUGCGUUGCCCCAAUGCGGAUUCGGUGACUCGAAGGAUUGCGCUAUAAUCACGCCGUCGCCUCUGCAGCCGGAAGUUAUGCAGCACGCGAAGCGGUCCGUAGGAAAGCUUUUCACAAGCGUCUCCAAAAGACCUCACUUGUGGCUCGACAGUCCAAGUAUUCUUCCACCAAUUCACCGAACUGGAGAACGUGACUACAGUUGUACAAGUGUGCUGACCAUGGACAGAGAUAGCGAUCACAGCAAAGCCGUGGUUCCUUCCCCAAACUGUUAACACUGUACUCAGUUAUUGCAAAAAUGUGUGCACGUGGUUGAAAUGCCCGCAGUGGCAGGUAUACUACGUGAUCUGGAGUGUCAAGGGCGAGCUUUUAUCUCAUCUCACAGUCACGACGUCUAGACAAAUCACCAAUACCUCGCUGGCGAAGAGAAUUGUGUGCUUGCCCGGUUUCACAAACGGGUGUCAUCAUGACAGGUGCAUUUGCAUGUCAAGAAUAACAAGGCAUUUGCCAGCUCAAGUGGAGUUAGGUAUCCUCUCAAUGACCAUGAGUUCUUUGCCGCACAGGCUUCAUAAGAAAGCUGCCGUUAUCUCUUACUGAAGGACGUUGGGAUCGAUGUUGAAGUGUUGAUCUUAAUAAAAAGCGAAAAUUGCA